rnacentral:rRNA from 1 species
UACGUAGGGUGCGAGCGUUAAUCGGAAUUACUGGGCGUAAAGGGUGCGCAGGCGGCCGCGCAAGUCGAGUGUGAAAUCCCCGAGCUUAACUUGGGAAUUGCGCUCGAAACUACGUGGCUGGAGUGUGGCAGAGGAAGGUGGAAUUCCACGUGUAGCGGUGAAAUGCGUAGAUAUGUGGAGGAACACCGAUGGCGAAGGCAGCCUUCUGGGCCAACACUGACGCUCAUGCACGAAAGCGUGGGGAGCAAACAGG